CAGUAGCCGCGGUAAUACGGAGGGAGCUAGCGUUGUUCGGAAUUACUGGGCGUAAAGCGCACGUAGGCGGUUAUUCAAGUCAGAGGUGAAAGCCCAGUGCUCAACACUGGAACUGCCUUUGAAACUAGAUAACUUGAAUCCAGGAGAGGUGAGUGGAAUUCCGAGUGUAGAGGUGAAAUUCGUAGAUAUUCGGAAGAACACCAGUGGCGAAGGCGGCUCACUGGACUGGUAUUGACGCUGAGGUGCGAAAGCGUGGGGAGCAAACAGGAUUAGAUACCCCCGUAGUCCCUGUCUCUUAUAC
rnacentral:rRNA from 1 species